ensembl:lncRNA
CCAGUGGUCAUGUAUGGAUGUGAGAGAUGGACUGUGAAGAAAGCUGAGUGCUGAAGAAUUGAUGCUUUUGAACUGUGGUGUUGGAGAAGACUCUUGAGAGUCCCUUGGACUUCAAGGAGUUCCAACCAGUCCAUUCUAAAGGAGAUCAGUCCUGGGUGUUCUUUGGAAGGACUGAUGCUGAAGCUGAAAUUCCAAUACUUUGGCCACCUCAUGCGAAGAGUUGACUCAUUUGAAAAGACUCUGAUGCUGAGAGGGAUUGGGGGCAGGAGGAGAAGGGAACGACAGAGGAUGAGAUGACUGGAUGGCAUCACUGACUUGAUGGACAUGAGUUUGGGUAAACUCUGGGAGUUGGUGAUAGACAGGGAGGCCUGGCGUGCUGCAAUUCAUGGGGUUGCAAAGAACACUUUUUGCAUGACUUUAUUUCUCUUACUUUAAAAGUUGAGGCUCACUCUUUUAGAGCUAUGUUCCUAGAACUGAGAGAGGCCCUAUGCAAGUGGGAAGACUAGGAUAGUAGAGAGGUUAAUCUGGGGCUGAAUUUCAGUGUCUCUACUUUCUAUCCAGGUGAUCUGGGACAAGAUACUCAAAUUUUCUGUAACAUGAGUUCCUUUUAUGAAAAGCAAGAAUAGAAAUAUGUACUUCACAGGAUGACUGUCGGUGUAAAAUGAGCCAACUCAAAUUUAGAGCAUGUAGCAUAGUGCCUGAAAUACGGUGAACAUUUAAUAAACAAAUAUUAUUCCUUUUUUCCUCUCACAGGAUACAGACUCUUUUCUCAAUGAAUUUAUAGUAAAUAUCAAGGGAAGAGAAGAGGAAUUCAAUAAUUGGAGACAACGUGUACUAAAGUUUGAAGUGAUGUUGUCAGAUAAUAAGAGAAAGUAUGGUAUAGAGAAGGAAAACAUAAGUGAUCCUUCAUUUGCUGUACUUCCCUUUCUUUUGAUUAAAAUGGUUUUCAUGUGCCAGCCUACACAAUAUACUCAACCUAAUUAACCAUAGGUGUCAAGAUUUCUGAGACUACAUAAAAAUUUUACAAAUUAGGUGAGCUGUUCAGCUUUGGUCAAUUUAAGAGACAAAUAUUGGGUUCCCCAAACAUGGAAUAAAAAAAUGGUAAGUAUCUUGUUCUGGAAACUUGGUCAGUUUGCUGCAUAUCUUCUCUGGAUUCCCAAGAAAAUUUUUGCUGUUUUUUUCUAUAGCUUCCUCACCAGUUAUCAGAAUUUAAGUAGAUAAGAGGUGGGCACAAUUUGCCAGAGAGAAACUGUAAAGAAGGGAGAAAUAGAAGAGGAAUAAAAGGAUGAUUCUUUAUAAGUUUGUCAACCUUAUCCCUUCUAACCUGUUAAGGCUUAUGUGUCUUCCUUUAUUACAGUGAGUGAAUAAAGGUUACAGGUGAAGGGAAGAAGCUUGAAACAAGGACAUUUUGCUACACAUCAGUGCUGGUCUGUAAAAUUCUAAAAGAAACUAGAAGGGUCUGAGAUAAAAUAUGAGGAUACAAGCAACUGACAUUUAAGAAUUAUAACAUUUUUCUUCUAAAUGAAAUUGCAGAAGCCAAACUUUAUAGGAUCUGAGAGAGGCAGAGCAUAAAAGUAAUGUAGACAAGAGCAAGGAGAUGGAACUUUAGGGAAAAAAGAGAAUUUUACAAAAAGGGAGGUAGGUUGGAAGAGGAUGCAAAAAAGAAAGUAAGAAAAAAAAAUAUGAGUAAUCCCACAAGGAAAACAAACACAGAAGUCAAACUGAGUGAGUAAGAAUGAGUGUGUGAAAUAAAGAUGGGAUGAACAAACAGGGAUUGGGGAAUGCACAGGGUAGGAGCAAAAAAUGGGGACCUUGAAAAAAAUGGAAAGAGAAUAAUAGUAUUCAGUAAUGGUUGAGGAAAUGAUCAAAAGUCAAUGACGGGCAAGGGUGAGGAGUGGGAGAAAAAUGGUCAUUGGAUUAUGGUGACAUGAAAGUGAAAAUGAGGCUAUGCCUUUGGAUCCUGAUUUGUAUGAAGUAAAUUGAAAAGCACAGACUUGUUAGCUUAUGAAGUGAUAUAAAGGGUUAUCAAGGGAGAGAAACUAAGGGCACCUAGUAACCAUUCCUAUUACAGCUCUUCCAAGAAUCCUGUUCUAUCCGAGAACCUUACCCCCUCCCCAUCUUGUUCUAUAACAUAGCAGUGUUCUAACACUUGUGUGUAGUUAGGUGCUUGGGGGAAUGAACACCUGGUAAGAAUGACAUACACAACAUUUAGAUUCCUAGUUCAUAGCACGUAAGGGUUAGUUAAAAAC